CAGGGAAAAGUGUUAGUUGCUCAGUUGUGUCCAAGUCUUUGGGACCCCAUGGACUGUAGCCUGCCAGGUUCCUCUGUCCAUGGAAUUCUCCAGCAAGAAUGCUGGAGUGGGGAGUCAUUCCCUUCUCCAUAGGAUCUUUCUGACCCGGGGAUCACACCUGGUCUCCUGCAUUGCAGGCAGAUUCUUUACCAUAUGAGCCACCAGGGAAGCCCAAAGAAUAGGGGAAAAGGAUCAAAUUAAACAUUUUAAAGUCAGUACCAGCCAUGUCUUCAAAACAUAACUUAUCAGGCUGAAAAAGUAUUGUGUCUUCUGACCAGGUGAUAAGUGUUUAUGCCUUUUAUCCUUACCUAGGAGAACUGAAAAUAAAUUUAGUAAAAGUCAUAGUGGUUUUGUGUAGUAUCAAACCUUAAAUUUUUCUGAAUUCAUUUGAAGGUACUGAAGUACCAACACUCUCAAGAAGUUUCAAGGGGGAGAGAACAGUGGGAGCAGUAGUGCUACCUCUCCAAGUCCAGCUGUGCUUGCCUAAUCUCUGCUGGGGUAGAAAACAUCAAAGCAGGUCUGGUUCCGUUUCCACAUGUUGGGAUUUUCUCUACAGACCCUUUUCCUCCAUUCAGUGUAGAAGUAAAGGCCAGAGGCAUUGGUGACUACAGCUCAACAUGAUGAUACAGCAGUUAACUGCCUAUUCUACUUUGUGAGAUGAGGCAAAAAUACAUAAACUUCUUCCUCUACCCAGGUCACACAAAGAAACAGGACAAUAAGAGAAAAUUCUCCAAUUUACAGAGUAAGCCUUGGAGGAGAGGAGAAGCUGAUACUGUUCUAAUGGAUACAAUAGGAGCCGGCCCACCAUAAAGACAGGAAAGAUGUGGCCUGAGCAAGUGACCCAAAGAAAACCAGAGCAAGUGACCCAAAGAAAACCAAUGGAUGUGAAAUAAAGAGGACUGAAAUGAGUUGAAGAUAAAGAGGAAAAAGAACAACUAAGUCUUAAGAGGUCGGCAGUUCAGAGGAGACAUGAAGUAACACAGGCAUGAAGAAAAUGCGUAAAAGCACAGAGAUAUGGAAAAGUUUAAUAUGUUCAGGAUAUUAUAAGUAACGUAGUUUAGAACAUCUGGCUUUAGUAUAGGGUAAAUGAUUUCAAUGUGUGAAGAGAUGACCAUACCCAAGUUAGAUGAUUUCUUUAAUGAAAAGAAUUACUGGCACAUUUUUGCAUCAGGAAACAACAAAACUUUUAUGGAAAUAGGACUAUAGAUUAUUCAGUGCAAACACUACAUCACAACAUGAAUACAGAUGAUGUUU